ACGUAGGUGGCAAGCGUUGUCCGGAAUUAUUGGGCGUAAAGCGCGCGCAGGUGGGAUCUUAAGUCCAUUUUGAAAGUUCGGAGCUCAACUCCGUGAUGGGAUGGAAACUGGGAUUCUUGAGUACCGGAGAGGAAAGCGGAAUUCCCCGUGUGGCGGUUAAAUGCGUGGAUAUGGGGAGGAACGCCAGAGUCGAAGGCGGCUUUCUGGACGGUGUCUGACGCUGAGGCGCGAAAGCCAGGGGAGAGAACGG
rnacentral:rRNA from 1 species